AGUGAACGCUGGCGGUAGGCCUAACACAUGCAAGUCGAACGGCAGCACAGGAGAGCUUGCUCUCUAGGUGGCGAGUGGCGGACGGGUGAGGAAUACAUCGGAAUCUGCCCAGUCGUGGGGGAUAACGUAGGGAAACUUACGCUAAUACCGCAUACGACCUUCGGGUGAAAGAGGGGGAUCGCAAGACCUCUCGCGAUUGGAUGAGCCGAUGUCGGAUUAGCUAGUUAGCGGGGUAAUGGCCCACCAAGGCGACGAUCCGUAGCUGGUCUGAGAGGAUGAUCAGCCACACUGGAACUGAGACACGGUCCAGACUCCUACGGGAGGCAGCAGUGGGGAAUAUUGGACGAUGGGCGCAAGCCUGAUCCAGCCAUACCGCGUGGGUGAAGAAGGCCUUCGGGUUGUAAAGCCCUUUUGUUGGGAAAGAAAUCUUUCAGGCUAAUACCCUGGGAGGAUGACGGUACCCAAAGAAUAAGCACCGGCUAACUUCGUG
rnacentral:rRNA from 1 species